CCUACGGGAGGCAGCAGUGGGGAAUAUUGGGCAAUGGGCGCAAGCCUGACCCAGCAACGCCGCGUGAAGGAAGAAGGCUCUCGGGUUGUAAACUUCUUUUCUUAGGGACGAAGCAAGUGACGGUACCUGCGGAAUAAGCCACGGCUAACUACGUGCCAGCAGCCGCGGUAAUACGUAGGUGGCAAGCGUUAUCCGGAUUUACUGGGUGUAAAGGGCGGGUAGGCGGGGACGGAAGUCAGAUGUGAAAACCAUGGGCUCAACCUGUGGCCUGCAUUUGAAACUGUGUUUCUUGAGUACUGGAGAGGCAGACGGAAUUCCUGGUGUAGCGGUGAAAUGCGUAGAUAUUAGGAGGAACACCAGUGGCGAAGGCGGUCUGCUGGACAGCAACUGACGCUGAGGCGCGAAAGCGUGGGGAGCAAACAGGAUUAGAUACCCUAGUAGUC
rnacentral:rRNA from 1 species